rnacentral:rRNA from 1 species
UACGAAGGGUGCAAGCGUUACUCGGAAUUACUGGGCGUAAAGGGUGCGUAGGUGGUUUUUUAAGUCUGCUGUGAAAUCCCCGAGCUCAACUUGGGAAUUGCAGUGGAUACUGGCAGGCUGGAGUAUGGUAGAGGAAGGUGGAAUUCCCGGUGUAGCAGUGAAAUGCGUAGAGAUCGGGAGGAACACCAGUGGCGAAGGCGGCCUUCUGGACCAAUACUGACGCUCAUGCACGAAAGCGUGGGGAGCAAACAGG